CUGCUGUGUUUUGGUGCUUCCCCUGCCCCUGAAGGUGUGAGCAGCAGGGAUGUUCAGCAGGCAAUAAACCCAGCUAAUUAAUGACCUCAGGGGAAGGCAAAUAAAAUCCUUCUGGGUAGAGAAGUUUCAAUUCAAUCAUGUUUUCUACCUUGUUCUUAAACAGUGGGACUUUUUUAUUCUAUUCCCUCUGCUCUUUCAGGGUUUGAUGCAGUUCCCAGUCCCUCAUUCUCUGUGACACUCCCACGGCACAGGAGAGUGCAGGGAGGAGGAACUGCUGUCACACAUCAGCACACCGUGUCUCCAGGAGCUCAGAUCUGCUCCCUACCACCUGCUAAACCCUGACUGCUCAUGCAGUGCCAUGAGUGGAGCUUUACAAAUGUGUGAGAUCGUGUCACAGACCUUGUAUUGGUUGAGUUUCAUUUCAAUGUAGCAUUUAUUUAAUUUUUUACUUAUGCAAAGCAGUCCUUAAAGCACCCCAUCUCUUGUAUCUGCUGUAGUCCUUCCAGAGGAAUAUCACACAUUUUCUAAGGCCUAGAAUAAAGAAAUUAUUUCCAAGAACAUCAGGUGCAUAAGAACAGUAGGAGCUCUUGCUGGAAUGCUGAUCCAUGCUGACUUGAGUCCCCUCUGAAGUGCCCAUCACACCAAGGCUCAGGUGCACACACCCCACGGAUCUACCAGCACACAAUUCCUUCUCGUGUCCUGUUCCAUGGGAGAGUGCUUGAGCCAGUGCUUUGUUCCAGUGUUUCUAGGAAAGCCCUGUGUCAGCUUUGCUGGAGCCAUGCCUAUCCCAGAGGUGCUACAGAACGCCUGUGACAUCAGCUGCCUCCCAGGGCUCUCACAGCCAGAGAAAAGCUCUCCUGGGAGAGAACUUUCUCCCAAAGGGAUGGACCUAAAAUGGACAAGGAGCUGUGCUUCAGCAGCAUACGAGGCUGGGGAGCUGCAAGAGAAAAAAGCAUUGGACUUGCUCAGCAAUUUUGAUCUUGCAAAGUUCUUAAGCAACAUCAAGGGACUACAGAAACCCAGGGGAGAUGGAAGCCUGAUGAGAACCUGGGAGUUUAAACCUGCCUAAUCCCACCCCUGGCACCUGCACUGCCCCUCCUGAAAUGCUGUGUCCUGGUGCAUUUAUCUGAACAAGGCAGGCAGAAUCCUGAUAUCCUGCAUGCUCCCCCUUCACUGCUCUCUGCAUCCUGGCUGAAGCUGUUCCCAGCUUUAAUCAUCCCUCUCCCUCCCUGCAUUUCACUCUGGAGAACGUGCAGGGUAGUUCCGUCCACAAACAAAAUCAUUUCCCCCCAUUUAAAAAUAAAGUGUUAAAAAUAAUUCCCCCUAAUUCUAAA
rnacentral:lncRNA from 1 species